UCGGGAAAACAGGCAUUCGCCGCCAUGGUUUACCAUGGGGGAGGAAAGUCCGGACUUCGCAGGAGAAGAUGCCAGUGAAACGCUGGGGGCCGCAAGGCUACGGAAAGUGUAACAGAAAACAUGUCGCUACUUGUAUUGUUUAUCGAUUCAAGUAGACAGAAUGAAAUUGUUGAUUUUAGGAAUCAACCGCCUUAUAGAGAUAUAAGUGUGCUAUAAACCCCAUUUGAAGCAAGAAAUAAUGAGCUGUUUUACGUUCUCCGCGUGGGGCUCAUUAGACAAAUCGCUUGAGAUUUUUGGCGACAAAAGUCCUAGAUGAAUGAUGCCGCCUUAAGGAAACUUAAGGAACAAAAUCCGGCUUAUCGUUUUCCCGAUUUU
rnacentral:RNase_P_RNA from 1 species